rnacentral:lncRNA from 1 species
AUCAGAACCUUCUUGUUUGUUGUUUAUUUUGAGACAGGGUCUUGCUAUUGAAGCUGUGGAGGAGCUGGCCAGUGGGCUAGAGGGCAGGCAGAAGGCACCAGCUGGGGCCACUCAAAGCCUGUUAUGCUGGCACUAGCUGGAGGCAGCCCAGUGCCAUCAGGUACAGACACCUGCUCUACACAGCAACCAGGAGCACCCACAAUCUGAGCACCUCAACCUCCUGCUUCCCUACCAACAGUCGGAAAACCGAAGAGGGGCACACCUGAAUAGAAUUGCAGAUCUAACCAUUAACACUGGUACUCUUCCAAACCCUAAUGAGCAUAAAUGUGGACCAACAGUGUUGACCCAAGUGCUAUAUAAACCCCUAGGCUAGCACACUGAGAUGGAAACCCAUGUUGGGGGUCCCCUCUGGCCCAUGUGAGAGUUCUGUUUCUAUUUCCUACCUCUGAAUAAAUCCUACUCCUU